rnacentral:rRNA from 1 species
GACGAACGCUGGCGGCGUGCUUAACACAUGCAAGUCGAACGGAAAGGCCCUGCUUUUGUGGGGUGCUCGAGUGGCGAACGGGUGAGUAACACGUGAGUAACCUGCCCUUGACUUUGGGAUAACUUCAGGAAACUGGGGCUAAUACCGGAUAGGAGCUCCUGCUGCAUGGUGGGGGUUGGAAAGUUUCGGCGGUUGGGGAUGGACUCGCGGCUUAUCAGCUUGUUGGUGGGGUAGUGGCUUACCAAGGCUUUGACGGGUAGCCGGCCUGAGAGGGUGACCGGCCAAAUUGGGACUGAGAUACGUCCCAGGCUCCUACGGGAGGCAGCAGUGGGGAAUAUUGAACAAUGGGCGGAAGCCAGAGGCAGGAACGCCGCGUGGGGGAUGACGGCCUUCGGGUUGUAGUCCGCUUACGCCUGUGACGAAGCGUGGGUGACGGUAAUGGGUAAAGAAGCACCGGCUAACUUCGUG